GCUUUCGUGGUGUAACGGUAGCACACUCGGCGCGAAUUCAAGAGAUCCAGGUUCGAGUCCCGGUGAAAGCA
rnacentral:tRNA from 1 species